rnacentral:misc_RNA from 1 species
GGAAGGAUCAUUAUUGAAUCCUCAGGAUGUCGCUGGCUCUCGCAAGGGAGCAUGUGCACUCCGCCUUCAAUCCACCUGUGCACUUUGUUGUAGGUCAAGAGGGGAAACCCUCCUGCCUAUGCUUUUUUUAUACACACGUUAAAGUACCAGAAUGUAAACACACAGUAGGCCUUUGGGUCGAAAUAACAAUACAACUUUCAACAACGGAUCUCUUGGUUCUCGCAUCGAUGAAGAACGCAGCGAAUUGCGAUAUGUAAUGUGAAUUGCAGAAUUCAGUGAAUCAUCGAAUCUUUGAACGCACCUUGCGCCCUUUGGUAUUCCGAAGGGCAUGCCUGUUUGAGUAUCAUUAAAACAUCACCCUUGACUUCCUUGUGAAACCCCAAGGUGUGGAUUUUGGAGGCUUUUUGCUGGCCAUCACCGGUCAGCUCCUCUCAAAUGCAUUAGCGGAACUCUAUGCAGUACCAGCCUCAGUUUGAUAAUCCUAUCUAUGCUGUCGCUGUUGGACUGUGCUUGUUUGGCUUACAAUUGUCUUCGGACUGUCACUUCUGUGGCAUAAACCUUUAAGCUUGAUCUCAAAUCAGGUAGGACUACCCGCUGAACUUAAGCAUAUCAAUAAGCGGAGGAAAAGAAACUAACAAGGAUUCCCCUAGUAACUGCGAGUGAAGAGGGAAAAGCUCAAAUUUAAAAUCUGUCUGCCUUGCUGCAGUCCGAGUUGUAGUUUAGAGAAGUGCUAUCCGCGUUGGCCUGUGCAAAAGUUUCUUGGAAAAGAACAUCAUAGAGGGUGACAAUCCCGUCUUUGGCACAGAUCACCAGGGCUUUGUGAUACGCUCUCGACGAGUCGCGUUGUUUGGGAAUGCAGCGCUAAAUGGGUGGUAAAUUCCAUCUAAAGCUAAAUAUUGGCGAGAAACCGAUAGCGAACAAGUACCGUGAGGGAAAGAUGAAAAGGACUUUGAAAAGAGAGUUAAACAGUACGUGAAAUUGUUGAAAGGGAAACGCUUGAAGUCAGUCGUGUCCUUUGGAAAUCAAGUCUGCCCUUGGGCGACCGUAUUUUCUGCUGGACAGGUCAGCAUCAGUUUUGACCGCUGGACAAAGGCCCAGGGAAUGUGGCUUCUUCGGAAGUGUUAUAGACCUGGGUUGCAUACAGCGGUUGGGAUUGAGGAACUCAGUGCGCCUUUAUGGUUGGGCUUCGGUCACACCCGCACUUAGGAUGCUGGCAUAAUGGCUUUAAUCGACCCGUCUUGAAACACGGACCAAGGAGUCUAACAUGCUUGCGAGUAUUUGGGUGGAAAACCCAUAUGCGCAAUGAAAGUGAAAGUUGAGACCUCUGUCAUGGAGUGCAUCGACGCCCGGACCAGACCUUUUGUGACGGAUCUGCGGUAGAGCACGUAUGUUGGGACCCGAAAGAUGGUGAACUAUGCCUGUAUAGGGUGAAGCCAGAGGAAACUCUGGUGGAAGCUCGUAGCGAUUCUGACGUGCAAAUCGAUCGUCGAAUAUGGGUAUAGGGGCGAAAGACUAAUCGAACCAUCUAGUAGCUGGUUCCUGC